UACGGAGGGGGGCUAGCGUUGUUCGGAAUUACUGGGCGUAAAGCGCACGUAGGCGGCUUUGUAAGUUAGAGGUGAAAGCCCAGGGCUUAACCCUGGAAUUGCCUUUAAGACUGCAUCGCUAGAAUCGUGGAGAGGUGAGUGGAAUUCCGAGUGUAGAGGUGAAAUUCGUAGAUAUUCGGAAGAACACCAGUGGCGAAGGCGACUCACUGGACACGUAUUGACGCUGAGGCGCGAAAGCCAGGGGAGCGAACGGGG
rnacentral:rRNA from 1 species